UACGUAGGGUGCUAGCGUUGUUCGGAAUCAUUGGGCGUAAAGCGCGUGUAGGUGGUUAACUAAGUCGGGUGUGAAAUCCCUAGGCUCAACCAAGGAAGUGCAUUCGAAACUAGUUAACUAGAAGAUGGUAGAGGAAGGUGGAAUUCCAGGUGUAGGGGUGAAAUUCGUAGAUAUCUGGAGGAAUACCGGUGGCGAAGGCGGCCUUCUGGACCAUCCUUGACACUAAGACGCGAAAGCGUGGGUAGCAAACAGG
rnacentral:rRNA from 1 species